GAUGAACGCUGGCGGCGUGCCUAAUACAUGCAAGUCGAGCGAACAGACGAGGAGCUUGCUCCUCUGACGUUAGCGGCGGACGGGUGAGUAACACGUGGAUAACCUACCUAUAAGACUGGGAUAACUUCGGGAAACCGGAGCUAAUACCGGAUAAUAUAUUGAACCGCAUGGUUCAAUAGUGAAAGACGGUUUUGCUGUCACUUAUAGAUGGAUCCGCGCCGCAUUAGCUAGUUGGUAAGGUAACGGCUUACCAAGGCAACGAUGCGUAGCCGACCUGAGAGGGUGAGCGGCCCCACUGGAACUGAGCCGCGGUCCAGACUCCUACGGGAGGCAGCAGUAGGGAAUCUUCCGCAAUGGGCGAAAGCCUGACGGAGCAACGCCGCGUGAGUGAUGAAGGGCUUCGGAUCGUAAAACGCUGUUAUUAGGGAAGAACAAAUGUGUAAGUAACUAUGCACGUCUUGACGGUACCUAAUCAGAAAGCCACGGCUAACUACGU
rnacentral:rRNA from 1 species